UACGUAGGGGGCGAGCGUUGUCCGGAUUCAUUGGGCGUAAAGAGCUCGUAGGCGGUUCGGUAAGUCGGGCGUGAAAUCUCCGUGCUCAACACGGAGCGGGCACCUGAUACUGCCGUGACUCGAGUCCGGUAGGGGAGUGUGGAAUUCCCGGUGUAGCGGUGAAAUGCGCAGAUAUCGGGAGGAACACCAGUAGCGAAGGCGGCACUCUGGGCCGUGACUGACGCUGAGGAGCGAAAGCGUGGGUAGCAAACAGG
rnacentral:rRNA from 1 species